rnacentral:rRNA from 1 species
CCUACGGGAGGCAGCAGUGAGGAAUAUUGGUCAAUGGACGAGAGUCUGAACCAGCCAAGUAGCGUGAAGGAUGACUGCCCUAUGGGUUGUAAACUUCUUUUAUAAAGGAAUAAAACGAGGCACGUGUGCCUUUUUGCAUGUACUUUAUGAAUAAGGAUCGGCUAACUCCGUGCCAGCAGCCGCGGUAAUACGGAGGAUCCGAGCGUUAUCCGGAUUUACUGGGUGUAAAGGGGGCGCAGACGGCGAUGCAAGCCAGGAGUGAAAGCCCGGGGCCCAACCCCGGUACUGCUUUUGGAACUGGGUGGCUGGAGUGCAGGAGGGGGAGGCGGAAUUCCUGGUGUAGCGGUGGAAUGCGUAGAUAUCAGGGAGAACACCGGUGGCGAAGGCGGCCUGCUGGACUGCAACUGACGUUGAGGCCCGAAAGCGUGGGGAGCAAACAGGAUUAGAUACCCUUGUAGUC